CUGGUCUUGACAUACAGAGAACUUUCCAGAGAUGGAUUGGUGCCUUCGGGAACACUGAUACAGGUGCUGCAUGGCUGUCGUCAGCUCGUGUCGUGAGAUGUUGGGUUAAGUCCCGCAACGAGCGCAACCCUUUUCCUUAUUUGCCAGCACUUCGGGUGGGAACUUUAAGGAUACUGCCAGUGACAAACUGGAGGAAGGCGGGGACGACGUCAAGUCAUCAUGGCCCUUACGACCAGGGCUACACACGUGCUACAAUGGUCGGUACAAAGGGUUGCUACCUCGCGAGAGGAUGCUAAUCUCAAAAAGCCGAUCGUAGUCCGGAUUGGAGUCUGCAACUCGACUCCAUGAAGUCGGGAUCGCUAGUAAUCGCGGAUCAGAAUGCCGCGGUGAAUACGUUCCC
rnacentral:rRNA from 1 species